AGUGGCAGAGGGUGGUACAACAUACAAUCCCCUCGCCUUUUACUAGGGGAUUCCGUGUACCGCCCUUACCUCGAUGCCACCUCACGAAUUUUUCGGAGUAUAUGAACCUUGCGUUCAUGA
rnacentral:snRNA from 1 species